CUACGAAAAUAAACCCCCGGCCCCCCACCCGCACGUCUGUCGAUCCCCUCGCCGCCGCCCCGAGACCAACGCACGUCACUCCAUCGAUCCCCUCUCCGGAUGGCCGCCUCCGCCGUUUCUCCGGAUCGCCGCCUCCGCCGUUUCUCCGAAUCUCCGCCACCGCCGUCUGGAUCGCCGCCUCCGUCAGACAUAAGACGCCGCCGCCGUCACAUAGAAGACACCGCCGGGAUCGCGUCAACGUACAGGACCGCCACCGCCGACGUGUGCCGCAGGAACAUCGAAGCAAGACUGCGGCGCGGCUGGUCCAUUGUGCCCUCGAGCGAGCACGGUGGAGACAAACUGAGGGGCGGCGCCGCCGCUGACCUUCGAGAGGAGACGUCGCCGCCGAAGUCCGGGAUCUCCGCCGCGACCUCCCAGAAGCGACGCCCCCGCCUCCGACCACAAAGGGUAUCUCACCUCCUGAUCCGUGAUUCGCCGACCACAGAGGGUAUCUCACCUCCCCAUCACGAGCCAACAGUGCAGGCAAUUCACCAAGUCGUCGGCAAGAUCUUCCAUGAUCCAUUCAUCUCGCGCUAGAGAUGGGGGAGGUGGCGGAAAAGGAUGAGCGAGGGCUCUAGGAGGGGAAGGAAGAGAUGGUGACCAGCACGGCUCCUCCGGCCAGGAAGACGCGGGCACUCUGCUUCGAGCAUAUCGACUUGCUUGCAUGGUGGAUGAGUCUUCUCCAACGGUUGCUCUCAAUUAGUGUAAAUUGGGAUGCUUUUGGCCGCCAUGAUGAUGGAGACCAGGAAGGGUUUGAUGGAUAGGGAGAGGGAGAGGGAGAGGGAUCAGCUCCCAAUCGGCAUGCGGGUCCUGGCCGUCGACGAUGACCCUAUGUGCCUCAAAGUUCUGAUGGUCCUCCUCCGAUGCUGCCAGUAUCAUGGCAUGAAAGAACAAGAUAUAAUGAAGAGUACCUUGGUGAUGAACAUGUGAGCUAGGACGCUUCCCAGUCAGAAUGCCUGUAGGGUUAAGGCAGAUGGCAUGGGUCCAAGUUAUUGACGAAUAUUUCCGCUGCGAUGUUACACUCAAGAUUCAACCAUAAUGGUCCUACUUGUGUAAUACGGUACAUAUGGAUGUAAGACUUUUGUUAUUCAGCUUCUGUGUGUUCAGUGAGCAUUGAUCUCUGGGAUCAUUGUACACGUGCAUUCGGUGAUCACGACUUAUGAGUCAGGAUCCCCACAUGUGCUUCCUUUGAUGGUGGGCUUACCCAUCCUGAUAAUAAAAAUAGUUGCUAUUUU